GCGCCCCCUGUGCUGACUCUUGUGGACUACGGUUCCCAGUAGAUCCUCGGGAGCUGAGGACGGCGCAGGUCGGAAGCUGCACGGCUCAUGGUGUGUUCUUCACACGGCAGGAUGGACUGGAGGAGCAGCGCUGGUGGUGGCUCCCUCUACUGUCCCGUGAGUGACAGCGCAGCCGUGCCCCAGGUGUGACACCUGACCUGCGCCGGCACUUCCUCCUUACCUGUGCACUGUCUUGUGUCGGGGACGCUGGAGACGGGUCAUCUAGUGGGGGCUGCGCUCCCAUAGUAUGGAGAGAGCCAUGGAGCAGCUCAAUCGUCUGACCCGAUCCCUGCGCCGAGCCCGCACCGUGGAGCUGCCGGAAGAUAAUGAAACUGCUGUUUACACCUUGAUGCCGAUGGUAAUGGCUGAUCAGCACAGGUCUGUUCAGGAAUUGCUUUUAAAUUCUAAGUUUGAUGUCAACUACGCCUUUGGAAGAGUAAAACGAAGUUUACUUCAUAUUGCUGCCAAUUGCGGCUCUGUGGAGUGUUUAGUUCUGCUUCUGAAGAGAGGAGCCAACCCAAACUAUCAAGAUAUCUCGGGAUGCACACCUCUUCAUUUGGCAGCACGAAAUGGGCAAAAGAAAUGCAUGAGCAAACUCCUGGAGUAUAAUGCGGAUGUCAACAUUUGCAACAAUGAGGGCCUGACCGCUAUCCACUGGCUGGCUGUAAAUGGACGGACCGAGCUCCUGCAUGACCUUGUGCAGCACGUCAGCAAUGUGGACGUGGAAGAUGCUAUGGGGCAGACGGCUCUGCACGUGGCCUGUCAGAAUGGGCACAAGACGACGGUGUUAUGUCUAUUGGACAGUGGAGCAGAUAUAAACAGGCCUAAUGUGUCUGGAGCCACCCCAUUGUAUUUUGCUUGCAGCCAUGGACAAAGAGAUACGGCACAGAUAUUAUUAGUGCGAGGCGCAAAGUACCUGCCGGAUAAGAAUGGUGUUACUCCACUGGAUCUUUGUGUGCAGGGUGGUUAUGGAGAAACCUGUGACAUACUUAUACAACAUCAUCCUAGACUUUUUCAGACGUUGAUUCAGAUGACUCAGAAUGAAGAGCUUCGGGAAAAUAUGUUACGGCAGGUCCUUGAGCAUUUGUCACAACAAAAUGAAAGCCAGUACCACAAUAUACUUACAAGCCUUGCUGAAGUUGCCACUACAAAUGGUCACAAACUCUUAAGUCUUUCCAGUAGUUAUGAAGCUCAAAUGAAGAGUCUGCUGCGGAUUGUGCGGCUAUUUUGCCAUGUUUUUCGCCUUGGGCCUUCUUCCCCCAGUAAUGGAAAUGACAUGGGCUACAAUGGAAACAAAACGCCAAGAAACCAGGUGUUCAAGGUCAGAAAAGUAUAUGACGUUUUUAGGAAGAUAGACGUAAAAGAGAUGAAUGUGACAAAGCAUGCACUCAUUUAUCACACCCCUACUGAACAGGACCCUCUCGAGUUACUUUGGCAUUCCUUAGAUGAAUGGCUUGUGCUCAUUGCCACUGAACUGACGAGAAACAAGAGAGACUCUAGCAACAUCGCUUGCAUUUUACUCAAGCAAAAGCCAUUGGAUCAACAAGAUUUUUCUCUCGAUCAUCAAUCAACUUUUGGAGAGAAUGGAAGCACAGAACAUCUCUCAGUAUCUCCGAGCACUGCGGACUUUGAGAACUGUGAAAAUGCUGGGAAGCAGGAAGCUGUCGCAGAUGGUCAGGAUGUUAUCUCAAUGACCGCAAACAGGCUCAGCGCUGUCAUUCAGGCCUUCUAUAUGUGCUGCUCUUGCCAGAUGCCUCAAGGGAUGACUUCUCCAAGAUUUAUUGAAUUUGUCUGCAAACAUGAUGAAGUUCUGAAAUGUUUUGUCACAAGAAACCCUACAAUCAUAUUUGAUCACUUUCAUUUCUUGUUGGAGUGUCCUGAACUAAUGUCAAGGUUUAUGCACAUCAUCAAAGCUCAGUCUUUUAAGGAGCGCUGUGAAUGGUUCUAUGAACACCUCCUUGCUGGGCAGCCAGAUACUGAUAUGGUGCACAGGCCUGUCGGUGAGAACGACAUAUUGCUGGUUCAUAGAGAUUCUAUUUUUAGGAGUAGCUGUGAAGUGGUCUUUAAAUCAAAUAGUGAAAAGCUGAAGCAGGGGAUUGCUGUGCGGUUCCAUGGGGAAGAAGGCAUGGGACAAGGAGUUGUACGGGAGUGGUUUGAUAUUUUGUCUUCUGAAAUCAUCAAUCCUGACUAUGCUCUUUUCACACAAUCUGCAGAUGGAACAACUUUCCAGCCAAAUAGUAACUCGUCAGUAAAUCCGGACCACUUGAACUAUUUUCGAUUUGCUGGUGAAAUCUUGGGACUUGCACUUUAUCACAGACAGCUGGUCAACAUUUACUUCACCCGGUCAUUUUACAAGCACAUCCUUGGUAUCCCAGUAAAUUAUCAGGACGUGGCCUCCAUUGACCCAGAAUACGCAAAGAACUUGCAGUGGAUUUUAGAUAAUGAUAUUAGUGACCUGGGACUGGAACUUACUUUCUCCGUGGAGACUGAUGUGUUUGGAGCUAUGGAAGAAGUGCCCCUAAAACCAGGAGGGGCGAGCAUAGUUGUUACACAGGAGAACAAGGCAGAAUAUGUCCAGCUUGUUACUGAACUUCGCAUGACAAGAGCCAUUCAGCCACAAAUCAAUGGAUUUUUGCAGGGGUUCCACAUGUUCAUACCACCUUCUUUAAUACAGCUUUUUGAUGAAUUUGAGCUGAAUCUUUCAUCACAGUGCAUUUUUAUCUAUUAAACGGUGUGAUGCCGCCGUCAUCUAGUAUGUUAUGAAAUAAACAACAGUGCUUUGAAAGAAUAAAUGCUUUAUGGUGGUUAGCACAGUACGGCAUUCCUGAUAUUUUUCCUCUGGCAUCCAGCAGUCAUAUGUACAAUAGUACCAACAAUGUAUUAUCUAUUAUCUUUCUGUGCAUAUUCCGAAUUGUCUUCUAAAUGUAAUCUACAGAGUAAAUAAAUCCAAUGUGCUGUGAAGGGCCCCAGUGCAAAUAAGCUUUUCUGUAAUUGCAAGAUAGGAAGCUAGCAUUGCUGCACAUAGCGCAUCGCAAAGAUACACAUUAUUAACUAGCAAAAGAUAAAUAUGCACAGUCAGUCCUCUUAAUUUCCUAAUACAAUUCUGGAGCACAUUGUGGCCCUCGCAGGGGGACAAAUAAGACACUUAUUAAUUGUUUACAUUUAUUAUCUGGAUUAUAGCACACAUUUUACAUGGAAAUCAGUUUGCAAUGGAAAGACUAGAGUUGCACUGUGCAAUUUAACAUCUCACUAUAUAUGUGCUGGCUCUGAGCUUUUGAAAUCUACUUCACAUUAAUUUUUUCUCAUAGUCUUUGAUAUUUCGGUAACAUGCAUGUCAGUGCUGUUAUUGCAAUUUUAAAUUACACUACAGAGGCAUUGAAAAUGAAGGAGGAAAGCUCUAGAGCUGUGCCAUGUACUUAUUUGAGGACUAACACAUUUGUUUGAAUUAUUAAAUAGGCUUGCUAUAUCGAGUUGUGCACCAGUAAGCUCUUUUUUUGGGUCACUAGUGAUGUUCCACUGUCAGCCAAGAUGUGGUUACUAAGCUGGAUACGUGUUAAUUCUUUUCUAAUCGUGUCCCAAUUCUCCACCAACACAAUAAAUACAAAGAAUUUUUCUACCUAUCAAUCACUUUCUAGCGCAAGCAAUGAAAUGGGUUGCUGUACAGUUUGUGCACAUGUUCUGUUUUUAAUUAUUUGCAGAGUGAAUGGUGUCGGUAGGACGUAGAGUCAUCCAUGUGGCAUGCGGAAACAACAGCUUUCAGGCUGCCAUUCCUGUCACUUGUCUGUCACAGUUCCUUAGCGAAGAAGUCCCAUAGUGUGUUCAUUGUUUGGACAUUUAUCACCCUGUAAAGAUUUAUUUCCAAGUUAAUUGGUAAAUAACAGUUG